CCUCACAUAAGAUAUAAAAAUGAAAAUGUUAAAUUGAAAAAAUAAUCAUUACGGCAGUUUUUUUCGUUUUUCCGGAAAUGCUAGAAGUUUCUAGAUCUGUUCCAAACACGUAAAACAAAAUUUAUAAUUUUUGGCUAAGAAAGUAUUUCAAUAGACUUGGGAAAAUGUUCAGUUUGGAGAUCAUGUUAUUUCCAAGUUGUUUCUUAGCGUUUUUACACUAAAUGUGGAUUUAUCAGUUAAAAAAACUACUCUUGACUCUAUUC
rnacentral:lncRNA from 1 species